rnacentral:lncRNA from 1 species
UUCGAGUAGCAGUACGAAUAGGAGUCUUGAGCAUGGCAUUUGGUAGCAAUUUCUCUCCCACGCACAGGAGAGGGAGACAAGGUGUAAGUCAAAUCAGUGCGAACAAAUCACAUUUCCUAUGAUCCUUGGUGUGUGGCGAAAUGUUGAGACGGAAAAAUCUUUUCCGAGACAUCGACAACCCCGCCUCACCGCUCCUCGCCCCGGUCCUCGCCACAUUGACCACAGCUUAUGACCAUCGGCUUUUCGCUGUCGAGGUGAAGUGUAUGCCGACCUAUGCCUCACAUGGUGCAUAGAGAUCGGCAUCGUGGUGUGGGGGAGGAGUCGUCGUGCCGCGUUUUCAUUACUCCUCGCGCAACCUCCUCUGCCCUCCCCUCCUCUCCCUUCCCCCCCAUUCUCAUAGCUUCAUUCGUAGCUCAUGUUCAUGCCAAAACUUCAAAGAUCCAUCAAAAGCUAUACAUGCUGUGUAUCUUAUUGUAUCUUAUAACUCUUAUACGUCUGGCAUGACGGCGCCCAAUAUUUUGGACACCCAUUCGCUGCGACCUAUGUGCCACAUCCCUUGUGUCACACCCUGCGCCGCUUCACCCACGUGCUCGUACUUCCUCUGCCCGGCCUCCACCACUAACACCACAACCACCGCCACCGCCACCCCCCCACACACUCACGUCCUCCCAGCCUCUGUACACCCCCUAACCGCCCUCAUAAGGCCCCCACCAGAUCGCCUCCCGUCACGGCAUCCAGUUGCCGCCACACCGCCCGGUGGAGAGAUACCAUCAAAAAGAGACCACCGGUGCCCCCGCUACUGCCGCUACCGCCACCGUGUGGUGCCGCGGGGUAGCUGCACACGAGGUUGGGACUCAGCCCUGGCGGGAUGACCGGGUUAAAGGCGAAGGGGGGCUCCGGGCC